AUACUUACCUGGCAGGGGAGAUACCAUGAUCAAGAAGGUGGUUCACUCACAGCGAGGCUCAGACAUUAGACUCUGGCUUGUGCUGACCCGUGCGAAUUCCCCAAAUGUGGAAAUCUCGACUGCAUAAUUUCUGGUAGUGGGGGACUGCGUUCGCGCUGUCCCCUG
rnacentral:snRNA from 1 species